rnacentral:ncRNA from 1 species
GCAGAGUAGAUUCAUAUGCGUAAAGUGCUUUCCGGAUAGAGAGUUGCCGGAAGACGAAAAGAGAAAUCUUGCGGUAUAUGAAUUGCAUCUCGCUGC